AAGAUAACUCUUGGGAAGUUUAGAAAUCGUCUCCCAGACAUGUAACAAGGAGUUGCUGAGCUGGUGGUGCUGAGUCUUCUUUGCCAUGGAUUUCACCUUCAGUUUUUUUUAUAGGACAAACAGAAAAGGUCCACGAUCUGGAGGCAGGCCUCUACUUUGCAAGUUGUCACAAACCUCUCCCAGAAGCUUGAAGGCCAGGCUCCCGGGUUGCCUGUCAGUGGGCACAGAUAGCAGUUGUCCUUACUCCCCAUCUGAGGGCCUGGGUGCCGAGGGUGGGAUGGGAUGGGGAGCCAUCUCCCCCAGGCUCAGGCAAUAUGGGGUACAUUGCAGAAAAUUAAAAAAACAAUAAUAAAUCAAAAUUCAGUCCGUUGUUUUUUUGUUUUUGUUUUUUUUUGGUACUG
rnacentral:lncRNA from 1 species